GAAAACAUUCAAAAAUAAAGGCUCAAAAUAUCAAUUUAAGAACAAGAAAUGAAAACAUAAAUUUUAAAGUAUGCAGAAUAUAGAGCUGAAACAUAAAGAAAGAAAGAACUGUAUCAAACCAAAAGAUUCACAUUAAGAAGCAAAAGAGAGAGUAGAGAUAGAGUGAAAAUUUUAAAAUUUCAUUAAUAAAACAGAGGAAUACAAAAACAAGAACUGAAAUAUUUUUGCCUUCUUUUCUUCCUCAUCUUCUUAUCUCUCUCAAGCUCACUUUCAGCUCUGCUACACAGCACACUCAGCUCUAACAUUUUCAUAGUAGAUGCUUCCUUUUUAUAAGCAAAGGAAUGACUUUUGCUAAUCGACAACGCCCAUACUUACACCAUGCUUAGGUAUGGCUAUGUUGCUUUUCUUGUACACGAACUAAAAAUUUUAUCAACUGUCAACACUCCUCCUUUAUGGGAUUUUUGCUGGAGUUGAACAUUUUCAUUUUGGACGUCCUUUCUAGCAAAUUAUAGCAGUUUUAGGACAUGCUUGAGUCCUCUCUAACAAGUUUAAGCAGUUUAAUGACUUGCUAAGGUCUAAUCAUCAAGCUUUCUAAAUUUUAGAAACUUGCAGGUCUACUGCAACAUUUUUCAGUUUUAAGACUUGCUAGUCUGUCAAAGUUUAUGAAGUUUAUGGACAUGCAAAGAUCUCCCCAACUUGAUUUUUUUUUUCAGUUUAGAGACUUGCUGGUCUUUACAUAACAAGAAAAUUCAAAGCUUUUCACCCUCGAUGGUGGAUGAAAAUGGAGGAGAAAUGUUCUUGAUAAAUUGUGAAUCAUUCUCAACAAAAAAUAGUUAGAAAAGAUUUUGAAAUAGGC
rnacentral:misc_RNA from 1 species